GAUGAACGCUAGCGGCAGGCUUAAUACAUGCAAGUCGAGGGGCAGCAGGACUGUAGCAAUACAGUUGCUGGCGACCGGCACACGGGUGCGGAACACGUACGCAACCUACCCAAAACUGGGGGAUAGCCCGGGGAAACCCGGAUUAAUACCUCGUAACCUUUUUAAGUGGCAUCACUUGAUAAGUAUAGCUCCGGCGGUUUUGGAUGGGCGUGCGCCUGAUUAGGUAGUUGGUGCGGGUAACGGCCCACCAAGCCUGCGAUCAGUAACUGGUGUGAGAGCACGACCAGUCACACGGGCACUGAGACACGGGCCCGACUCCUACGGGAGGCAGCAGUAAGGAAUAUUGGUCAAUGGACGCAAGUCUGAACCAGCCAUGCCGCGUGAAGGAUGAAGGUCCUCUGGAUUGUAAACUUCUUUUAUGGGGGACGAAACCCGGAUAUUCUUAUCCGAUUGACGGUACCUCAGGAAUAAGCACCGGCUAACUCCGUG
rnacentral:rRNA from 1 species